rnacentral:rRNA from 1 species
UUUGAGCAUGGCUCUCAUUGAACACUGGGGGAAUGCUUUACACAUGCGAGUCGAACGGUAGAGGGGGCAACCCCUUGAGAGUGGCGAACGGGUGAGUAAUGUAUCGGAACGUGCCCAGUCGUGGGGGAUAACGUAGUGAAAAUUACGCUAAUACCGCAUACGAUCUAUGGAUGAAAGCGGGGGAUCGCAAGACCUCGCGCGAUUGGAGCGGCCGAUAUCAGAUUAGGUAGUUGGUGGGGUAAAGGCUCACCAAGCCAACGAUCUGUAGCUGGUCUGAGAGGACGACCAGCCACACUGGAACUGAGACACGGUCCAGACUCCUACGGGAGGCAGCAGUGGGGAAUUUUGGACAAUGGACGCAAGUCUGAUCCAGCCAUUCCGCGUGCAGGACGAAGGCCUUCGGGUUGUAAACUGCUUUUGUACGGAACGAAAAAGCUCUUAUUAAUACUAGGAGUCCAUGACGGUACCGUAAGAAUAAGCACCGGCUAACUACGUGCCAGCAGCCGCGGUAAUACGUAGGGUGCGAGCGUUAAUCGGAAUUACUGGGCGUAAAGCGUGCGCAGGCGGUUAUAUAAGACAGAUGUGAAAUCUCCCGAGCUUAACUUGGGAACUGCAUUUGUGACUGUAUAGCUAGAGUACGGUAGAGGGGGAUGGAAUUCCCCGUGUAGCAGUGAAAUGCGUAGAUAUGCGGAGGAACACCGAUGGCGAAGGCAAUCCCCUGGGACCUGUACUGACGCUCAUGCACGAAAGCGUGGGGAGCAAACAGGAUUAGAUACCCCUGGGUAGUCCACGCCCUAAACGAUGUCAACUGGGUUGUUGGGUCUUAACUGACUCACUAACGAAGCUAACGCGUGAAGUUGACCGCCUGGGGAGUACAGCCGCAAGGUUGAACUCACAGGAAUUGACGGGGACCCGCACAAGCGCUGGAUGAUGUGGUU